GUCAAGUUACAAGGAAGUUAGUCGUUACAACGGAUCAGUAAAGUCGACAGCCAGUUCGAGACAACAUUAAUAAACGCACUAUUUUGAAGUAAUACACCGAGUAGUCCUGUGGCACCCUUCACGCCCUACAUCUCACAACCUUGAUAAAUUCAACCGCAUAAUGUUUUGUUGAAGUAAUUACUUCAAGAAAAACUCUACACCUUUUCUUUUGUAUAUGGAGACCGCUGCUACGAAGAAAAUAGAAUUUAGUGAAACAAAAAAUUCGAAAUAAGGAGAUCCAUAUUAUUGUGCCCUUGGAUAUAAAUUUUGUUUUGAAAAGAUCUAGAAACAAAAGAGCUAUAAGUAAAUUUCUAUUGCUGUUCCUCGUAGCCUUCAGCUAAAGCUACAAGAUUAACCUUUUAGUAAUGUUCUUUGCUAUAAAUAUAUGAACGUGUUCCCUAUCAUUCUUCUUCCUAUUGUGUCGUAACACUGUAAGAGUGAAGAUCUGGAUCAGCAUACGCUAUACCUGUACUUAUACUUAUACCUUUAUUUAUUUCAAUAUAUUUUUCUAUUACAAAUUCAUCCACUCGUUCCUCUAUCAGUCAACCUCAACGAUUUUCACCGCGGGAAGGAAGUGUUAGAAGAAUUGGAGAGUGUUAUGAACGAUGCACAUUAAUGUUAUGUAGAAUUACUGAAGAGAAUUAUUGUACGAAGCUAUACUACAAGUAAACACCAUCUUUGGUACGGAUUUAAUUUUCAAAACAUCAAUGAUACGGAACCCGAAUUGUUUGACGUCCGUUUAAACAAAAAGAAGAAAUACAUCCAGAAAUGUAUUUGGAUAUAUUUAUUUGGAUUGGAUUGGAAAACUAUUUAACUUUGUUCAAACGUCCCAUUAAAAAUGAAAGGAGAAUUGUAUUACGUUCUGAUAGAAUAUUAGUAAUUAGUAAUAUUAGUAAUUACAGAUAACAAGAUUCGCGUGGUAAAUACCGGGGAAAUAGAUUAGAACGACCACAGAGGUACCAAUAACUUAUGCCAACAUGAGAUGGUACGGAAAAUAAUCAAGGAUCGAAGAAUAUUAGAAAAGAAAAUUAUUCGUCAAUUCGUCACAGACAAUCGCCGUAUACGAGCUCAAUUAUAACAGUAAAGAAAAAAGAUGGAAAUGAUAGAUUAUGCGUGGGUUACCGAGUUUUAAAACCUACAACAGUAAGGGAUCGAUAUACUUCAUCACGGAUCGAUGAUUAACUUGAUCGUCUAGGACAAGGUAAAUACCGUUCUAUAUAUUGGAUAUGGUGCCAGGAGUCCACCAUAUACCAAUACAUGAAAAUUCAAGAAAGCGGUUUCACUUUCAUCGCCCCUGAUGAGCAUUAUGAAUAUUUAAGAAUGUCGUGGCUUGACUUCACAGUCAUACGACAUUUUUUUUUUUAUUAUUAUUACCAGAUUUUGUGUAUUACAUAUUUGUAUUUUCCAUAAUAAACGAUGAAUUCUGGUUG